GCCCCACGACUUCCCCAUCGGCACCUGAACAGACAGAGACACAGACAGAAAGUCCAGGUGUGACCCAGGUGUGACCCAGGUGUGACCCAGGCAGACGGAGCACGGAGCUCAGAGCACCAGGAACCUGCAGCAGGAGCUUUUAUUUAGGGGAAACGCCCAAAUAAAACCUUCAGAUUUAAAGUUUUUCAUCUGUUUUGAUACAUUGUAUAUAUGUAGACACACUCUAUAUACCUUAUGCACCUUUUCCUCCAUUUAGCACCUUCUUUUGUUUAUUAAGCCGACGUGUGAAGAGUGAAUUUCUCCACUGUGAGAUCAUUAAAGACUAUCUUAUCUCAUCUUACUCGUCGCUGUUCUUUAACUCAGUCAUUGUGAUGAUUUACUUUAACGGUUCCCCUUCC